AAUAUUUAUACUAUAGAAUAGUUUUUCAAGUGAUCGCCCUUUGAAAUUUAAGAUCCAUUCUCUGUAAUGAAUAUACCUGGUGUGUUAGAUCCAUGACAGGAAAGGUCAAGGAAUUUCUUCAAAUUUUUAAAUAUAUGAUUUGAUACGCAAGCAUAGUACAGUAAACAAGCCUGUUAUUAGCAAACAUACUGCAUGUUGUAUUCAUGCCAUUAACUCAAAUGCUGACUGGUGUUUUCCUACUGUUUGGCUAUUUAAUACUAGUAUUGUUACAGUAUUAGAUUUAUUAAUUUAUUUGAUAAAUCUAUAAUACAUUUAAUGUUUUUAAUUUGUACAUAAAUGCAUUGCUAAAAAUAUUUAAAGGUCACCGAGGUGGAACAGGUAGUACCUGUACUUAAUUAUUAUUGCCUUGGGGUAUGAAGGUUCUGGUCUUUGGUCUUUGAUUUGUAGUAUCCAUCAUUUUCAUUGGUUUGGACUUUGUACGGUUGUGUUUUAUUAGUUUACUUAUUUUCCCUCCAAAAGUUGUUGUUUUUAUGGUCAUUCUUUGUCCAGUGUUUGAGUAGAGAGGACUAUAUUUACAGAUUUGUAAUAUCAGACUUUUGACAUUUGAUAUUUCUCUCUAUUUAGGUAAGCUAAUAUUUAUAUACUAAUUCUAAUAUGAUUUCUAAUAUUUGAUUUAACUGCAAAGUAAAUUCUAUAGCACUUGCACAGUCAGAAUCUGAUUUGAGAGAUUAGUAUUUAAAGUAACUGUUUUAUUGAUACAGAUAGUAGUUUUUACUUAAUUUAAAUAUGUAUAUAUUUUUAUGAUGAUAGCUUUAUUUAUGUAAACUAUGAUAAUUUGUAGUUAUAUGAUCUGGACCCUGUGAGCCAUAUUAUUAACACUCAUGAAUGGGAGAGGCUCGAUCCCAUAGAUAGGUCAUUUUCCUAUUAUCCUGUUACCAAUUUCCUAUUUAUAUAAUCAUCUGUGUGUGAAUAAAUGGAGAUGAUCGAACCCUGAAACGGACUUACUGUUAUAUUCCAUAAUAACUAUAAGAAACCGUUACAGUAUUUACAUACUGAAUAUUGUCGACGAAUUUUCUCGUUAUUUCUCGAUCAUGACAAGGAGCAUACAGCGGGUGUGAUCGAUCGGACUUCACAGAAAAGCAUAUCGACCGGUCGACAUGCUUUUCUGUGAAUUAAGUAGAUUUAUCUAUGGAUCGACCUAAUCAAAAGGCUAUAUUUAUAUAUCGACGACGUAUUGCCAAUUAUCAAAAAAAAAACCUCACUACUAACCUUCAAAUACAUGUAGUUUCAUAGAAAUGGAAAUAUAUCUAUUUUCAAUACUUCACAAAAUACCAGAGGGAGUAUAACACUAUACAUGCCGCAUAUACAUGAUCUGCAUCUGCAUGCUGCUGGCAUAUAUUAUGCAGGAGA